GGGCAUGUGUCUCAGUGGAGGAGUACUUGCCUGGCAUGCAUGAGGUCCUGGGUUUGAUCCCUAGCACCCA
rnacentral:tRNA from 1 species